rnacentral:lncRNA from 1 species
UAAAGCCAGACACACACAGCGAUGGGAAGCAGACAACGGCACGAUUGUGGCGACUCUCCCUUUGAGAGGACACCUGGAAGGAACUUCCAGUGCUCCCCAGUAAGAGUAAGAUCUCCCCAACCCACAUCCACCACUGUUCACAGAAAGCAGGAAUGUGACACGAUCAGGCUAGGAUGGCAGUGACCGCUCCAUGGAAACGACGGAACACGGAAAGCCUCGACAGGAACACACCUAGGGAUGAGACCAGACCACGGCACACUGCUGGCCUCUCUCGCUUUGAGAGCUCAGCCAGAAAGGAUGCCAGCACUCUCCAGGACAGAUAAGACAGCCCCAAGCCAUUCCCCACUAUGGUGUCACGCUCAGACCAGGAGUGCAGUGACCGCUCACUUAGGAUGAUGGAACAGAUAUGGCAUCGCCAGAUUCACACAGCGAUGGGACAAAACCACAGCACACUCCUGGCCACUCUCCCCAUGAGAACUCAGCUGGAAGGAAGAGCUGCCAACACUCUACCUGACAGGUAAGAUCGCCCCAAGCUACACCCCCGAUGGUCCACAGCAAGCAGGAAGCUGACAGAAUGGGGGCAGGACGGCAGUGAAUGCUGCCUCAGGAAGACGGAACACAGACAGGCUCGCCAGACACACACUGGAUUGCCUCCAGACCACGGCACAAGCCUGGCCUCUCUGCCCUUGAGAAGUCAGCUGUUAGGAACUUGCAGCGCUCUCUAGGACAGUUCAGAUCUCCCCAACCAAAGCCCAGCAGGCUGGCCAUUGCUGCUCUGUUUGGUGCUUUUCCUCUUUCAGCCAGAAACGGCACAAUCCUGGCGUCUCUGCCCUCGAGCACUCAUCGACGAGGAAGAGCUGCCAACGCUCCCUAGGACAAUUAAGAUCGCUCCAACCCACACCCACCAGCCUCUAACAGCAAGCAGGACGGUGACACGCUCGGGCCAGGAGGGCAGUGACCGCUCCAUGAGGACGAUGGCACAGGGACAGCCUCGGUGAGCCGCUGGAGACCCCUGGGCACAGAGGCAGAGGCUGCCCGUCUUGACAGAGGGACGCUACUCUGUUUGGUGCUUCUUCUCUUUCAGCCAGAAUCACAUGGCGAUUGGACCAGA